UUAGAAAUAAUUCUAUAGACAUUUGACACAAUAGUCACAAAUUGAAGUGACAUUGUCGGUGUGUUUUCAAGUACCGAAAGAAAUACUAUGAAUUUAUUACAAAAUGUUUAUGUUGUGUACAAUGCCGUUAAAUUAACUGUAUGUCAGUCCUGUGAAGAAAAUUUUGGAACAAGGAUGUCAAGAAAAUCGUGGGUUCACGAGCAAUGAUGGUAUAAAUGGGCAGUUCGUUAUUGUGUAUAGUUGAAAAACAAAGCGCAGGAAAUGACCUCAGAAGACUUCUUCGGAUCUGCGUAAUCAUGGUAAUGAGAAGAACAGCCCAGAGUUUCGCAAUAUGAAUACUAUAAUCAACUUACAAAACAGAAAUGACAAAACAUCCCUUGCCUUAGAUUAUACAAAUAAGAUAAAGAUUCGUCAGUGGCUUACUAUUCAACUGACACCGAUAGACUAUAGAAAUGAUUAACUACAAUUUGGCAGUAUGAUAAAAAAUAAUCUGCUUUUGUCAUAGUAUAAUCUUGCACUGACAUAUAACUAUGUGGAUUAAUUGACAUAUCGUAGUCGCUCAGAAGUCACAAACUUCUAAAAAUCGAGUUGAACAGAGACAACAAAGUUGCCUCACGAAAACAACAUAUAUAUAAUUUUUAAUUCAUCACGUACAUUUUGUCACUUAAAUGACGUACGCUUCCUAUUCCAAAUGCUUUUAGUUUGACGCUUGUUGUUUCAAAAGACCGGUGCACUCUGGGGUGCUUUGUAAAAAAUUUGACAAGGGAGCACUCAAACAUAUAUUCUAGCAGAAUUUUUUCGUGAAAAUGUAAAUAUAACAAUUGUGAAUGAAAUUAAAAUAAUGCCAGAAAUUGUUAGCAACAAUUUA